rnacentral:rRNA from 1 species
AAUAGAUACCCGGGUAGUCCCAGCCGUAAACGAUGCUCGCUAGGUGUCAGGCAUGGCGCGACCGUGUCUGGUGCCGCAGGGAAGCCGUGAAGCGAGCCACCUGGGAAGUACGGCCGCAAGGCUGAAACUUAAAGGAAUUGGCGGGGGAGCACAACAACGGGUGGAGCCUGCGGUUUAAUUGGACUCAACGCCGGACAACUCACCGGGGGCGACAGCAAUAUGUAGGCCAAGCUGAAGACUUUGCCUGAAUCGCUGAGAGGAGGUGCAUGGCCGUCGCCAGUUCGUACUGUGAAGCAUCCUGUUAAGUCAGGCAACGAGCGAGACCCGUGCCCACUGUUACCAGCAUGUCCUCCGGGACGAUGGGUACUCUGUGGGGACCGCCGAUGUUAAAUCGGAGGAAGGUGCGGGCCACGGUAGGUCAGUAUGCCCCGAAUCUCCCGGGCUACACGCGGGCUACAAUGGAUGGGACAAUGGGUCCCUCCCCUGAAAAGGGCUGGUAAUCUCACAAACCCAUUCGUAGUUCGGAUCGAGGGCUGUAACUCCG